GGGAGAGGGGAUGGUGUCCCAGGUAUUAUCCUUCUAUUAUUUUGCAUAGUGGUUGUUAGGAAAGCUCUUUGUAAACCUUAAAGCACUUCAUAAAUUUGAAUUAUUGCUGCUAUUGGUAUUCAUUUAGACCCAUGUAGCCCUGGGAGUCUGCAACCUGAGCUCCAGAGGAAGGCAAAUGCGCUCAACUCCAUCUCUUAUGGUCCUCAGAGCCUGGGGCCAGUCCAGACCUCUCGUGGGUGCUGCUGGAAAGAAGUCCCCUGCGAGAACCCGCUAACUUAAAUUCAAGGGAUUUUGCCAGAACCAGAUAAAGUAUUUGGAAUGUAGCAAGUUGAAUAUCACUAUAAUUUUCUAGGAGUACUUUGCAUAUUUUGCUGUGUCUUCACCUGAAGGACAUGGGGUAGAUCUAAGCCUUAUUGGUAGGAAGCUCUGGGAGGGCUGCUAUAAUUCUGUCCUUUCUACAGGGGAAACCCAAGCCUCGAGUCACCUGGACACAUGAUGACCAAGCAGUAGAGGCAGAGGUCCUCAGAGCUGGAGCAUUAGCAUCCCACCACCUGCACUGUCUCUAACCUCACCAUUGGCGACACCUACUCUUUCUGGGUCUUUACUGGAAACCAGUGUGGACUCGGUGCCUCAGCUCCUAUCACUACUGACCUCGCCCACAUCUAGAAAGCAGGUAAGGAUUCACAAUCCAGAAGAGCUGAGGCCAAAGAGCUGAAAAGCCAGUGAUGGAGAAGUCGCAGAUCACAUGAUUGUUUCUGAUCCUCCUCUCUUCCCUACUAACCCCAGCAAUCACUUUCAAACCUGAGAAGUUCGCUGACAUUUCUCUGAAGCCCCAGAGUUCACCUCCCCUCUGGCAGACUGUAGCAUGAUCAGUGCUGUCAGCACCCAUUUCUUUGGGUGUCUGGCAUCUCUCAAGAAGCGUAUUUGGAUGGAGGGAGAGAAGACUGGCACAAAACUGAGCAAGUGCAGAGAUAACUUUUCACAUUGUUUCUGAGAGGAGCUUCGAUGCAUUUGUGGCAGGUAUAGGU
rnacentral:lncRNA from 1 species